UACGAAGGGGGCUAGCGUUGCUCGGAAUCACUGGGCGUAAAGGGUGCGUAGGCGGGUCUUUAAGUCAGGGGUGAAAUCCUGGAGCUCAACUCCAGAACUGCCUUUGAUACUGAGGAUCUUGAGUUCGGGAGAGGUGAGUGGAACUGCGAGUGUAGAGGUGAAAUUCGUAGAUAUUCGCAAGAACACCAGUGGCGAAGGCGGCGACCUGGUCCGGGACUGACGCUGAGGCGCGAAAGCGUGGGGGA
rnacentral:rRNA from 1 species